AUAUUUUUAUAUAUAGCAUAUAAUAUAUAACUAUAUACUAUUAGAAUAAAUUAAGAUUAAAGUCAAUAUGAUUUUCGUGGUUUUUCUGAUAACAGGUCUGCUGUUUCUUGUCAGUGGAGAGAUCGCAAGACUUGAAACAUGUGGUGGGUGACGAUUAAAUCGCCUUCCAAAUGUGAAGGCUUUUAUUAAUGAUCAUGCACCUUUUUAUUCUAAUUUUGAAGUAAAAUAUAUUGGGGGUGCUGAUCCAACCUUGGUAUUUAUAAAAGAUGAUAGUACUGAGGAGAGGAAAGAUAUAUCAGAGAUGAGUACUAAGGAAAUCAUUGAACUUGUUGAGUCACAUGGCUUCCGUAAAAAUGUUAUACCGCCCCCAACUGAAGAGUUGUAGAUGAUUUCUAUUUCAAAUUGUGUUGAACAUCCAUUUUAAUGACUUACUUAUGAAGAUUUUAUGGGGAAAUUUUAUACCUAUUUUGUCUGAUUUUAUUUUGUAAAUCCAAAAAAUGUGCUAUAUUCAAUUUGAAAGAAAUAAUAUCUUUGACUGAAA
rnacentral:lncRNA from 1 species